UAAUACGGAGGGUGCAAGCGUUAUCCGGAUUCACUGGGUUUAAAGGGUGCGUAGGUGGGUAUGUAAGUCAGUGGUGAAAUCCCCGAGCUUAACUUGGGAACUGCCGUUGAUACUAUAUAUCUUGAAUGUCGUAGAGGUAAGCGGAAUAUGUCAUGUAGCGGUGAAAUGCUUAGAGAUGACAUAGAACACCAAUUGCGAAGGCAGCUUGCUAUGCGAUUAUUGACACUGAGGCACGAAAGCGUGGGUAGCAAACAGGAUUAGAUACCCUGGUAGUCCACGCCCUAAACUAUGGAUACUCGACAUACGCGAUACACUGUGUGUGUCUGAGCGAAAGCAUUAAGUAUCCCACCUGGGAAGUACGACCGCAAGGUUGAAACUCAAAUGAAUUGACGG
rnacentral:rRNA from 1 species